rnacentral:rRNA from 1 species
ACAGGGAAAGUUUUAAUGCCAAAAGAUGAGCCCGCACUUGAUUAGCUAGUUGGUAAGGUAAAGGCUUACCAAGGCAACGAUCAAUAGCUGUUCUUAGAGGAAGACCAGCCACAUUGGGACUGAGACACGGCCCAAACUCCUACGGGAGGCAGCAGUGGGGAAUCUUGCACAAUGGGGGAAACCCUGAUGCAGCGAUGCCGCGUGAGUGAA